rnacentral:rRNA from 1 species
GAUGAACGCUGGCGGCGUGCCUCAAACAUGCAAGUCGAGCGGGGCUAUGUAAUAUCGCAAGGUAGAACAUAGCCUAGCGGCGAACGGGUGAGUAACACGUGGGUAACCUGCCUGGAAGACAGGGAUAACGAUUCGAAAGGGUCGCUAAUACCUGAUAAUAUCCUUUCAUCGCAUGGUGAUAGGAAGAAAGGGGAAACCCGCUUUCAGAUGGGCCCGCGUCCCAUCAGCUAGUUGGUAAGGUAAAGGCUUACCAAGGCGACGAUGGGUAGCCGGCCUGAGAGGGUGAACGGCCACACUGGAACUGAGACACGGUCCAGACUCCUACGGGAGGCAGCAGUGGGGAAUCUUGGGCAAUGGGCGAAAGCCUGACCCAGCGACGCCGCGUGGAGGAAGAAGUCCUUCGGGGCGUAAACUCCUGGACUGGGGGACGAGGAAGGACGGUACCCCAGUAGAAAGGGACGGCUAACUACGUG